AUUAUGUUGAUUUUUUAUAACUUUAUAUGUAUUUUUUUAUAUGUAUAAAAACGUAACAUGUAUUUGACGCGGGUCUUAGGUACUGUUUGUUUUGAAAAUGAUUAUAUGUCUUUUGUCUUUUUUCAAGUUUACGGAAGAAGACAUGCCCUUACAAAACGUCUACCAACAGAUGGGAAAAAUGCUCAAAAAAACUUUCGUAAAAAAAACAAACUAGGCCUGAUUAGUCUUGUGAUUUCUAUCGUACAGCACAAAUUAAAUCUGACGUUAAGUGUUUUCUCCCGUGACUCAACUAAUCUCAAAGAAUCCAAUUUCCCAACUUCUCCCGUGCUCCCAACUCACGUUCUCUAUGCUCCUCCGGUCCCUCAGCCGGCGCCGCUGUGCUGCUCCCUAAGCCGGCGUCGUCCUCUUCUCCGCUCCUCCAUGAUCCGCCUCGUUCUCCACCUCUAUUUAGAGCUCCGCCUCCCUACUAUCUUUCUCAAGGUACAUAUUUGUUCAUCUUUUGAAUAUAAACCUAACACACCUUUUAUAGUGAUCUAAUUUUGCUAGAAGCAUGAAACAUAUGAAUUUACUUUGUACUCUCUCUCUGAGUUUUUAUUGACUAUUUUUCCCCAAAUUUGAUGUGGGUUUCUCCAUUUUUAUUGUUAAUUUGUUAAUUUGUUGGGUUUUUUCCCUAGUAAAUAUCCGUUUCGGAUUAUAUAGAAUCUUGGGUUUAAUAGUUCAAAUUCAGUAAUCAGCGUAACAUGUCUUUGAGUUCUUCCAUGGCACCCUUGUGCUUUAGGAUCUGUAUUGGCUAUCUGCUAGCUGAAUUAUGAUGUUUUUCUUUAAUACUAGUAUUCAUUUGGGCAAACAGGCAUUCAAGGAUUUAUUACGACUUUCUAAUUAAUUGAAAUCAAGAUUCUUGGGUAUUUAACAUUGAGAAUUUUAAUAGCUUUUCAAUAAAGAAAUUUCAAUAUUCAUUUGGGUAAACACGCAUUCAUUUGGAUAAAUAAUUUUCAAAGCUUUCAUACCCGUAAAUUUAAACACUUUUUUUUUUUUUUUUUGUGAAGUUUUAAAAUAGUUCUUGGUGAGAUGCUCCACUUUAAGGUGUAGUAAUCAGUAAUCACCCCAUAACCAAGAUUUAUAAUACAAGUUCAAAUAGUUGAAGAUAAAACAUAUCUACAUUAAGUCGCGCAUUUUUUAUCCAAUGUUUCUUUAUUAUUAUUAUUUUUUUUGAUUUUUGGUUUGUGUUAUAGAUUGAAAUGUUUUUAGCCAUUAAUGCUAUUCUUGUUAGUUUUAGAUGUAAUUCCAUGAAUCUAUCUUGUUGUCUAGGCAUUUUAUUCAUUUAUAAUUAGGUGAGGCAUUUUAUCCAACACUUGAUAUGCAUGCUAUAUUAUAAUCUAUUGAUUGAAAAACACGAGCCACACAAACACAUACAAAAAAACAGUUCAAUCAAGGGAAGGUGGAGGAUAUAGAAACCGUAUGGACGAUUUUACCCCUGUUCUAAAAAUGGUUGGUCUUGAGUGAUUUUCAUAUUAUCAUUUGGCUGAAGUUCUGGUUUAAUCUAAAGUUGUUGGAAGGAAAAUUACCAGGUGCAAUUUUGGACGAUUUUACCCCUGAAUUACUUUGAAAGCUUAGUGGUGGCAGAUCGUUUUCUUGGUGGUGUCAGCCACCAUCAAUGCAUUGCUUUGAUAGUACAAUGCAUUUUGGUGUUGAUAUGUUCCAGAAGUUCAGCGCUCCAAUUGCACCUAAAAUAAUUUGGGCGGGCAUUUGCCUAUGCUUACACCUAGGGUUGGUGAUGAUUAUGUUCAGUGUGAGGGUGAGGAGCCGUUACACAACAGACAUGGGUGUAAGAUUGCUAUCUUCUGAUAGAGGUAAGUCUUUUCACUGUGCUUUGCGGGUUGAAGGCACCAAUGUUAGUCCAUGAUUUAUUAUGACUAAGAUGCUAGUUGUAUGUGUGAUAAGUGAAUGUAAACCGGACGGGGUCUGCUGCCAGACGGGGCCUGAUGAGGAUCUGUUCCGGGCGGGGUUCGAUGUCAGGCGGGGCAUGAUGCCAGGUGGGGUCGAUGCGGGGCGGGACCCAAAGCCGGACGGGGCCCAAUGGUGGUGGAGCAAGGCCCAAUGUACUUUCGGUACAAACGAGAAGGGCCCGAUGUGACUGCACUACAUCCAUGCAUGUUUCUGCAACUUUAUGAUUUUGUGAUUGUAUUCUGAUAACUAUUUUUACUUUGAUAUACUUUUGAAUGAUUGGAAAUGCUAAAUGGUGUUUAUAGUUGAAAUAAAAAUGAAAUUUUUACCUUA